rnacentral:lncRNA from 1 species
AGGGGAGCAGUUGCAGACUUUUUGUGACUUAGUAUUUCAGAAAUUUAGCUGCAAUAUCUGUAACUAGAUAGAGCCAAAUUUUUAGCAGCAGAUGUAUUUGAGUCACACACCACCAAAGUACAUUACCAGUGGCAAAUCCACAGGGGGCUGCAGCAACCUCAAAGCAUGUUACCAGCGGCGAACCCUCAGGGGGCUGCAGCAAUCUCCAAGUGUGUUACCAGUGGCAAACCCACAGGGGGCUGCAGCAACCUCAAAGCAUGUUACCUGCGGCAAACCCACAGGAGGCUGCAGCAACCUCAGUUCUUGCCUCCUCAGAAGAAAGACUUCAACUGAGGAGCAUAAAGCAGAAGGAGAGACAGAGGCAAGUCUUAGAGCAGGAGUGAGAGUUUAUUAAAGAGCUUUAGAACAGGAAGGAAAGUACACUGGGAAGAGGCCGAGCGGGAGACCUGAGAGAUCACGUGCAUGGCUCACCUUUGACUUGGGGGUCUCACACUGUUGCAGGACUUUUGCUCAGUUCAGCUAAAGACGGGGUCCUUGUCACAUUGCCACAAAAGAUGAGGCUCAUAGACAAUUUGAAGCAUGAGAAAGGCAGGGUUUUAUUGGGUAGAAAGGAAGAAAAUGGGAAACAGAGACUCUUAGUGAAGCGAGAGAGUGUUUCCUGCCAGUGCACUUCCCACCUCACGAAAUGAAUCCCAGGUUCACCCAGGAGGAGGAGGGGCCAGGCUCCUCCCCGCUGCAAGUGGCGUGAGCCUCUGUGGCUCCACCCC